UCGAGCGCGAGAUUGAGGAGCUUGCUCCUCAUGAUCGAGCGGCGGACGGGUGAGUAACACGUAGGCAACCUACCCUUGAGAUUGGGAUAACUACCGGAAACGGUAGCUAAUACCGGAUACGACUUUCCUGCAUAAGCAGUUAAGUUAAAAGGCGGAUUUAUCUGCCGCUCAUGGAUGGGCCUGCGGUGCAUUAGCUAGUUGGUGAGAUAGUGGCUCACCAAGGCGACGAUGCAUAGCCGACCUGAGAGGGUGAUCGGCCACACUGGGACUGAGACACGGCCCAGACUCCUACGGGAGGCAGCAGUAGGGAAUCUUCCGCAAUGGACGCAAGUCUGACGGAGCAACGCCGCGUGAGUGAUGAAGGGUUUCGGCUCGUAAAACUCUGUUGUUAAGGAAGAACACUUGAGGUAGUAACUGGCCUUGAGAUGACGGUACUUAACCAGAAAGCCACGGCUAACUACGUGCCAGCAGCCGCGGUAAUACGUAGGUGGCAAGCGUUAUCCGGAAUUAUUGGGCGUAAAGCGCGCGUAGGCGGUAAAAUAAGUCUGAUGUGAAAGCCCCCGGCUCAACCGGGGAGGGUCAUUGGAAACUGUUUUACUUGAGUACAGAAGAGGAGAGUGGAAUUCCAUGUGUAGCGGUGAAAUGCGCAGAG
rnacentral:rRNA from 1 species